GUAGGGAAUAUUGGGCAAUGGUCGGAAGACUGACCCAGCCAUGCCGCGUGCAGGAAGACGGCCCUCUGGGUUGUAAACUGCUUUUAUCUGGGAAGAAAAAGGCCAUGCGUGGCAAAUUGCCGGUACCAGAUGAAUAAGCACCGGCUAACUCCGUGCCAGCAGCCGCGGUAAUACGGAGGGUGCGAGCGUUGUCCGGAUUUAUUGGGUUUAAAGGGUGCGUAGGCGGCUGCUUAAGUCAGCGGUGAAAGACUUCGGCUUAACCGGAGCAGUGCCGUUGAUACUGGUUGGCUUGAGUGUCGGAGGGGUACAUGGAAUUGAUGGUGUAGCGGUGAAAUGCAUAGAUACCAUCAGGAACACCGAUAGCGAAGGCAUUGUACUGGCCGACAACUGACGCUGAUGCACGAAAGUGUGGGGAUCGAACAGGAUUAGAAACCCCGGUAGUCC
rnacentral:rRNA from 1 species